rnacentral:rRNA from 1 species
CCCUUCGGGGUGCAGCAGGCGCGAAAACUUUACCAUGCGGGAAACCGUGAUAAGGGGACACCGAGUGCCAGCAUCAUAUGCUGGCUGUCCGGGUGUGUAAAAUACACCCGUUAGCAAGGGCCGGGCAAGACCGGUGCCAGCCGCCGCGGUAACACCGGCGGCCCGAGUGGUGAUCGUGAUUAUUGGGUCUAAAGGGUCCGUAGCCGGUUUGGUCAGUCCUCCGGGAAAUCUGACGGCUUAACCGUUAGGCUUUCGGGGGAUACUGCCAGGCUUGGAACCGGGAGAGGUAAGAGGUACUACAGGGGUAGGAGUGAAAUCUUGUAAUCCCUGUGAGACCACCUGUGGCGAAGGCGUCUUACCAGAACGGGUUCGACGGUGAGGGACGAAAGCUGGGGGCACGAACCGGAUUAGAUACCCGGGUAGUCCCAGCCGUAAACGAUGCUCGCUAGGUGUCAGGCAUGGCGCGACCGUGUCUGGUGCCGCAGGGAAGCCGUGAAGCGAGCCACCUGGGAAGUACGGCUGCAAGGCUGAAACUUAAAGGAAUUGGCGGGGGAGCAC